GACGAACCGAGCGAACGUUGUUCGGAAUUACUGGGCGUAAAGGGCGCGUAGGCGGCCCCUUUUGUCGCGUGUGAAAGCCCCGGGCUCAACCUGGGAGGUGCGCGCGAAACGGGGGGGCUUGAGUUCGGGAGAGGAGCGUGGAAUUCCCAGUGUAGAGGUGAAAUUCGUAGAUAUUGGGAAGAACACCGGUGGCGAAGGCGGCGCUCUGGACCGAGACUGACGCUGAGGCGCGAAAGCGUGGGGAGCAAACAGG
rnacentral:rRNA from 1 species